rnacentral:rRNA from 1 species
GACGAACGCUGGCGGCGUGCUUAACACAUGCAAGUCGAACGGAAAGGCCCUGCUUUUGUGGGGUGCUCGAGUGGCGAAAGGGUGAGUAACACGUGAGUAACCUGCCCUUGACUUUGGGAUAACUUCAGGAAACUGGGGCUAAUACCGGAUAGGAGCUCCUGCUGCAUGGUGGGGGUUGGAAAGUUUCGGCGGUUGGGGAUGGACUCGCGGCAUAUCAGCUUGUUGGUGGGGUAGUGGCUUACCAAGGCUUCGACGGGUAGCCGGCCUGAGAGGGUGACCGGCCACAUUGGGACUGGGAUACGGCCCAGACUCCUACGGGAGGCAGCAGUGGGGAAUAUUGCACAAUGGGCGGAAGCCUGAUGCAGCAACGCCGCGUGCGGGAUGACGGCCUUCGGGUUGUAAACCGCUUUCGCCUGUGACGAAGCGUGAGUGACGGUAAUGGGUAAAGAAGCACCGGCUAACUACGUG